UACAGAGGUCCCGAGCGUUGUUCGGAUUUACUGGGCGUAAAGGGUGCGUGAGGUGGCGGGGUAAGUCUGGUGUGAAAGCUCCGAGCUCAACUCGGAAAAGCAUUGGAAACUAUCCCGCUGGAGGGUCGGAGGGGAGACUGGAAUUCUCGGUGUAGCAGUGAAAUGCGUAGAUAUCGAGAGGAACACCAGUGGCGAAGGCGAGUCUCGUGGACGACUCCUGACACUGAGGCACGGAAAGCUAGGGGAGCAAACAGG
rnacentral:rRNA from 1 species